rnacentral:rRNA from 1 species
CCUACGGGAGGCAGCAGUGGGGAAUAUUGCACAAUGGGGGAAACCCUGAUGCAGCAACGCCGCGUGAAGGAAGACGGCUUUCGGAUUGUAAACUUCUGUUCUUAGUGAAGAAUAAUGACGGUAGCUAAUGGGCAAGCCACGGCUAACCACGUGCCAGCAGCCGCGGUAAUACGUAGGUGGCAAGCGUUGUCCGGAAUUACUGGGUGUAAAGGGAGCGCAGGCGGGAAGCCAAGUCAGCUGUGAAAACUACGGGCUUAACUUGUAGACUGCAGUUGAAACUGGUUUUCUAGAGUGAAGUAGAGGUUGGCGGAAUUCCGGGUGUAGCGGUGAAAUGCGUAGAUAUUCGGAGGAACACCGGUGGCGAAGGCGGCCAACUGGGCUUUAACUGACGCUGAGGCUCGAAAGUGUGGGGAGCAAACAGGAUUAGAUACCCCGGUAGUC